rnacentral:rRNA from 1 species
GACGAACGCUGGCGGCGUGCCUAAUACAUGCAAGUAGAACGCACAGUUUAUACCGUAGCUUGCUACACCAUAGACUGUGAGUUGCGAACGGGUGAGUAACGCGUAGGUAACCUGCCUGGUAGCGGGGGAUAACUAUUGGAAACGAUAGCUAAUACCGCAUAAUAUUAAUUAUUGCAUGAUAAUUAAUUGAAAGGUGCAAUUGCACCACUACCAGAUGGACCUGCGUUGUAUUAGCUAGUAGGUGAGGUAACGGCUCACCUAGGCGACGAUACAUAGCCGACCGGAGAGGGUGAUCGGCCACACUGGGACUGAGACACGGCCCAGACUCCUACGGGAGGCAGCAGUAGGGAAUCUUCGGCAAUGGACGAAAGUCUGACCGAGCAACGCCGCGUGAGUGAAGAAGGUUUUCGGAUCGUAAAGCUCUGCUGUAAGAGAAGAACGGGUGUGAGAGUGGAAAGUCCACACUGUGACGGUAUCUUACCAGAAAGGGACGGCUAACUACGUG